GGGGCUGAAAUUGCUUCGACGAGUGGAAUUUAACAGAUUGAUUCAGCGAGCAGAUGAUUACUUUAUAAUCAAUAUAAGUGCAAAUAACACUUUUAUAGCGAAGGUCAAGGCGUUUUUCGCGCCAAAAAUGGCUUUUGCGCCAGUUGCCGCUUAAUUUUGGCAACCGUCUAACGUUUGAUGCGAUAUAGAACGUUCGGCGUCACUUUUUAUCGCUCAGGUCCCGUGUGGUUUCGUGACGCACGUGGUCGAAACUCUUCGCGAACUUAACAUGUUCGGCUUUGUGAUUUUCCAUGGAGCAUGCUAAGUAUCUUGAAAGUCACUAGGCUUCGUAGACGGUCAAUAGGUUACCAUUCGGACGCGGGGUCAGUACCCGCCAGCUCCACCA
rnacentral:tmRNA from 1 species